rnacentral:rRNA from 1 species
UACGUAGGUGGCGAGCGUUGUCCGGAUUUACUGGGCGUAAAGCGCGCGCAGGCGGCUGUUCAAGUCCGAUGUGAAAUCUUCCGGCUUAACUGGAAAACGGCAUUGGAUACUGGACGGCUGGAAGGUGGGAGAGGGUCGCGGAAUUCCCGGUGUAGAGGUGAAAUUCGUAGAUAUCGGGAGGAACACCAGUGGCGAAGGCGGCGACCUGGGCCAAUACUGACGCUGAGGUGCGAAAGCGUGGGGAGCAAACAGG